rnacentral:rRNA from 1 species
UACGGAGGGAGCGAGCGUUGUUCGGAAUUACUGGGCGUAAAGCGCGCGUAGGUGGCUUUGUAAGUUAGAGGUGAAAGCCUGGAGCUCAACUUCAGAAUUGCCUUUAAGACUGCAUCGCUUGAAUCCGGGAGAGGUGAGUGGAAUUCCGAGUGUAGAGGUGAAAUUCGUAGAUAUUCGGAAGAACACCAGUGGCGAAGGCGGCUCACUGGACCGGCAUUGACGCUGAGGUGCGAAAGCGUGGGGAGCAAACAGG